rnacentral:rRNA from 1 species
UGGCAGAGGUUACUGCUAUCGGUGUUCGCCUAAGCCAUGCGAGUCAUAUGUAGCAAUACAUGGCGUACUGCUCAGUAACACGUGGAUAACCUGCCCUUGGGACCGGCAUAACCCCGGGAAACUGGGGAUAAUUCCGGAUAACGCAUAUUUGCUGGAAUGCUUUAUGCGUCAAAAGGAUUCGUCUGCCCAAGGAUGGGUCUGCGGCCUAUCAGGUAGUAGUGGGUGUAAUGUACCUACUAGCCAGCGACGGGUACGGGUUGUGAGAGCAAGAGCCCGGAGAUGGAUUCUGAGACAUGAAUCCAGGCCCUACGGGGCGCAGCAGGCGCGAAAACUUUACAAUGCGGGAAACCGUGAUAAGGGGACACCGAGUGCCAGCAUCAUAUGCUGGCUGUCCGGAUGUGUAAAAUACACCUGUUAGCAAGGGCCGGGCAAGACCGGUGCCAGCCGCCGCGGUAACACCGGCGGCCCGAGUGGUGAUCGUGAUUAUUGGGUCUAAAGGGUCCGUAGCCGGUUUGGUCAGUCCUCCGGGAAAUCUGACGGCUUAACCGUUAGGCUUUCGGGGGAUACUGCCAGGCUUGGAACCGGGAGAGGUAAGAGGUACUACAGGGGUAGGAGUGAAAUCUUGUAAUCCCUGUGGGACCACCUGUGGCGAAGGCGUCUUACCAGAACGGGUUCGACGGUGAGGGACGAAAGCUGGGGGCACGAACCGGAUUAGAUACCCGGGUAGUCCCAGCCGUAAACGAUGCUCGCUAGGUGUCAGGCAUGGCGCGACCGUGUCUGGUGCCGCAGGGAAGCCGUGAAGCGAGCCACCUGGGAAGUACGGCCGCAAGGCUGAAACUUAA